AAGGAAGAACAGAAAUUAGUAAGUACUGCUAAUCCUUAUGCACCAUGGUUAAAAUCCAUGGCUUCCUUGC
rnacentral:tRNA from 1 species